UACAAGACAAGCACAUGCUGUUCUCUAAGUUCUUGAUCGUGAAAUAUACCGAGGGAGGACUUGAAGACAGCUAGAUUGCUUUUGAACUGAGGGAGCAUCUAGUGCGUCUAGUGAUAUGCUUCUAGGUACUCCUCUCUCACCUUGGGCAAAGUAAAGGUUAAGGCACGGUUCAGCGAUAGUCCACUCUGCAGUUUUACACUUUUACUAGCGGUCCUUGCCGUGUUUGUCGGCACUUUGUCCACAUGAUUUGUAUACGGACGUCGAAUGCCGCCCAAAAAUUUAAAACCUCCUCUAUCUUCCCUUUUUCUUCAUCUUUUCUUCUUCAGCAGUCAGAUGGAUGUCCUAGGGUAGUGUACUAGCAUGCCAGAAAUUUGUAUAUGGGUGUAGCUUCACAACGACGACAAAUAACGCAAUCACAGGUUGAAGUUCAAACAUCGGACAUACACAAUCCAAUCGAAUAUUGGAUAUGUCCAGUCCAGAUACAUAUGUUCACUGGGGAAGGGGAAUUAUCAAAUGUCAGCUUCCCGACAUUGAAGUACCGAGGAUGUUUGUGUUUCAAAAUUGAUUAAUAUAUCAUGCAGUUCCUUAUAGUCUUCAACCAAGUCACUAUUUACUCCACGAGUAGCGAUGGCAGUCUAUGUUGCGUCUUGAAUUUAGCUCAAAUUUUAACUCAAUUUAGCGUGUUUAUAUUACUCUAUUCAUACUUAGGUAUGCCCUCCACCCCCGGAUUUCUGUGAAGAAUCGUCAUAGUCGUUGGUUGAUGUUUCCCCGACUAGAAGACUUUGGAUGAAUCAAAGCAAUG
rnacentral:lncRNA from 1 species